CCAGUAUGACACUAUGGAUUUAGCUGAUAUGACGCUAUGACUCUCUUCGGGUUGCCUAGGAGGAUAUGGAGCUGUGGUCCAACUUCUUAGUUUAUUUUCGUUUAAUAAUUUUCAAAAACUUUUCAGGAGUUUAUUGUGCUUUGUUUUCUCUUUAGGAUAUUUUAUCCCUUUUAGUUUUUGGCUUUCGAUAUAGAUUUGCGAUCACACGGCCAAUCUGUAUUGCAGAUUUGAUUAGAUUUACUUCUCGUUGUUGAAUUGGGGUUUUAGUCAUCUUUUGAGUUGUACGUGAUUCUCUCCAUAUCAAUCCAACCAAAAAAAAAAAAAAAAACAAACAAACAAACAAAGAGGCCUCAAUAUUUACCAGGUGCCGUUAUUAUCUCCAUAUCAAUACAUUGCCAAGUAAAUCUCCAUAUCAUUGCCAAUCUCUCAAUAUCUUUUGUUUUACUUCUCAUUGCCAAUAUCUUUUGCACCAAUAAAAGCAAGGAUAAACUAGAAUGAUUACCAGCUAACAUUGCCAAUAUCUUUUGGACCAGUUUUCUUUCCAUGAAACCAUGAUGAGCUUUAGACAAUAUACAAUAAACAAUCUGCACAAAGUAAGACACUUUUAGGUACUAGAUAGAUAGUGCGUUUUGUCUUUUCUUUUUCUUUUUUUCCAAUUUGGAAACUACACCAUCAUCACAUUUCAUUGUCAAAGAAGUGUUCAAUGUAUAGACCUUGUUUUAACACACACCUUUAACUUACACCAAAUAUGCAAAUCCCACUAGGAGGCCACAAUGUUUUUUAUUUUUUUUGCUCAUAAUUAAAAUGAAGAAGUGUUCAUAGCAAUAUGAAGAAGUGUUCAUAGCAAUUAUUUUUCUUUUUUAAGGAAAAAAGAAAUUUUUG
rnacentral:lncRNA from 1 species